CCUACGGGAGGCAGCAGUGGGGAAUUUUGGACAAUGGGCGCAAGCCUGAUCCAGCCAUGCCGCGUGCGGGAAGAAGGCCUUCGGGUUGUAAACCGCUUUUGUCCGGGAAGAAAGGGCCCAGGUGAAUAACUUGGGUUGUUGCCGGUACCGGGAGAAUAAGCACCGGCUAACUACGUGCCAGCAGCCGCGGUAAU
rnacentral:rRNA from 1 species